rnacentral:lncRNA from 1 species
GUUGUCACAACGUUCAAUGCACGGGUGAGGUCGGAAGAUAGGCACGGGUGUGCGUGUUAUCGCUAGCUAGCUUCAUUAUGCCGUCACGAUGACAGAUGCACAUGUGUGGCAGCUGGCCGCCGUAAAGGCCUCUUGAUCAUAGACGAUCUGGGUGCCGUACUAUCUACAGCAACGCCCCGAAGAUUCAAUGAAUUGUUGUUUCACUGGCAGGAUGGUAACCCCAGCACGCAAGUAGAUCAUCUGCCGCAGGCGCACUAUUCCUCCCAUACGAACAUAUGCCCAUCCAGCACGUGCAAGCCACUCAUCUAGCUAUCGGGUUGCGUACCAGCGGCUGCUCUCUGGCGGCACACGAAGCGGACGGGCUGGUCGCAGCCCUGCAGGUGCACGUCUCCCUCCUGGCUCAUCAGGUAGCACAGGUCGGAGGAGGGGUCUGCUGGCACCCCGUCCAUCCAACACGUGUAGCGGUUCUUGGCGCACAGCUCCCGGAGGACGGCUGCGGUCGAACAGGGUCGUGUGUACAUUUAGGCAGCAAGAUGCACAUAUAUGCAUACAUGGUGCUUUCAAGGACAGGCAAUCAACGAGCACUUCGAAGUUGAUGUGCGUGAUGCGUGUGACUUUUACUGCGAAGAAGCAGGGCGCGAGUAGCCGCUACAACAGGAAUAAUUGCAUUCCUCUGGCCUUGCACACACAUAGUCUCUUGCCCUGCCGCGCGUGUGUGGAUGUCGUGGACCCGCUCUCAUAAUCUAGCGCACGCUCCUGCUGGUGACAUAGAUACUUAUGUAUGUCUAUCCUCACCCAGCGACUGCGCCUCGCCGUGAGGUGCCAGCUCCAGACCGUCCUGCUCGCAGAUUGCCUUGGCCGUGGUGAAGUUCCACAAACAGCCGCCAGGGUAAAUGUCGUACAGCGUGUAGAUACGACCACCCUCUUCUGAAUUGUCGUACUGGAUCUUGUUAUAGGUAUAUGUGAAGGGAUCGGAGCAUGCGGCCUGCUGAGGCAGAGUGAGGGGCCCCCGGCGGCGAAAGGGAGGGCGAGCAGCAGCAGCAGUAGCAGCAGCGGUUUGCGGCGGGGGAGUUGCGGCAACCGGGCCACUGAGUAACUUGAUUUGUGCUCGCUGUUGCCACUGAAAGGCGCCGACGGUGAUGUAUACAGCAACCUUCAUAUUAAUAUGCAUGUAUGAGGGUACUGACGAGUAUGAUUCUACGUUUCAAGCAUACGCAUGCCAGUUCACCUGCUGCAGGACGGCAGAGCAUGAAGACUGCUGGCUACUAGUGCGACGCCUACAAGGCUGGCGAUAGCAACGUGGAUGCGAGUUGCGUCUUUGGUGCUGCAGCAUUCACCGCAGCGCGUUCGUGCGCCUUGACGUUUGGUGCUAUCUAUCCAGCCAGACGUGCUGGUCGCAGCUGAUAUGUAACGAGCCGCGGCUGCCGUCCCCGCGGUAACUUGCCAACUUCUCAGUUUUAUUGUUUCAUCGGUCAGCAGCGUCAUUACGACAAGCAUGCAUACAGUAUCAAGUAGUCACGUGUGCAGCACCGGCUGUACCGCUCACUCACCUGGUCACGGCACACGAAGCGGACGGGCUGGUCGCAGCCCUGCAGGUGCACGUCUCCCUCCUGGCUCAUCAGGUAGCACAGGUCGGCGGAGGGGUCUGCUGGCACCCCGUCCAUCCAACACGUGUAGCGGUUCUUGGCGCACAGCUCCCGGAGGACGGCUGCGGGCGAGCGAGCAUGCAUGGAUGCACGUUGUAGAUACAAUGACGGCGCUUGUGCACGCAAUGUGCAGCAAACCGAGUAAAACAGCAUAUAUGAUGUAAUGAGGUGCCGCUCUUACGCAGUCCUAGUAUCAGUGAGGGGCGGAGGAGUUCGCUGAUAUGCUCUAUGCCAUUGUGCUCACCCAGUGACUGCGCCUCGCCGUGAGGUGCUAGCUGCAGACCGUCCUGCUCGCAGAUUGCCUUGGCCGUGGUGAAGUUCCACAAACAGCCGCCAGGGUAAAUGUCGUACAGCGUGUAGCUGCGGC